rnacentral:misc_RNA from 1 species
UUCUGCGCUUAAAGGAAAACGAACUUGUCUAGUUUCUGCUGUUUCAAAGCAAUUGAAAGCAACUGGAUUAUCAGCGGGCUCUGUCAGCGGUGAUCAGAAAAGCUCUGCUAGUGAUGUGGCAAUAUCAACUGCUCAAGUUCCUGUGGCAAGUCAAGUUACCUUGCCAACCAGUAAAAUAAGCAGGCGCAAGAUGAGUCUAAAGCAAUCAUUUAUCCAUAAAGAGGGGCAUUCUUCUGAGAACAUCCUUAAAAAUCAAGCAAAUAGAUAUUCAAUCUCCUUGCAAGAUACAGCACCCUUUCUAAAGGGAAAGUUUUCUUCUUGUCUCUCAUCUCCGAUGGUUCGUAGAUGGUGUACAUUUGAGUGGUUCUACAGUGCAAUUGACUACCCUUGGUUUGCUAAAAGGGAGUUUGUGGAGUACUUAAAUCAUGUUGGAC